AGCAACUUGUGGAGCACUAGGACCCAGUUGCAGACCUGCAGAGCAGGAGGAAUCAAAGCUGCUGAUUGGGUGGUGCAGAGCGGGAAGAGUAGGAGGUGGGGUUACCUCCUGAGGGGAUUGCUGAGGAGUGUCCUGAGGUGAUAGGGAGAGAGAGGCAUGAGGGAGCCCUGAACUGCCACUUGCUGUCACGACCAGGGCCGGUGAGAGCCGCAAUGCCACUGAGAGGAGCGCCAGUGGGGUGUCACCGUGACAUACUGUAUUGGAGGAGGGACCGGAGAGCCCUAAUAAGUGCACAUGGUUUUGCCCAACUGCUAGCAAAGUUCCUGCUGCGAUCAACUCAGAAUUACCCCCAUUGACUCCUUAAGAAAGGGACAAAAGUUAAUAAAAUUCGUUGUGUAAGAAAUCCCUCAGGCAAGGUAUCCGAGUGAAAUUUUUCCUCGCCUCUCUGUGAAGAUUGAAGCAUUAAAGAAAGCUAGAAGGGAGAAUAAGACAAGGUAUAAUUAAAAGGCGAACACAACGGCAAGCUGCUGCAGAAAGUCCUUCCCAAUCCCGUUCUCAGCCCCCCUCCUCUUCUGUCACCCAAUCCCCCUCUCCUUCCCAAUCCCCUUCUCAGCCCCCCUCCCCCUCUCUUUACCAAUACCCCUCUCUGUCCCCCUCCCCCUCUCUUUACCAAUACCCCUCUCUGUCCCCCUCCCCCUCUGUAGGCCAAACCACCACUCCGCCCACAUCCCCCUCUCUUUCCCAUUCCCCCUCUCUGGCCCCCUCCCACUCUGUGGCCCAAACACCCUCUCCGCCCCCCUCCCCCUCUCAAUCAGACCCACCCUCUGUAAACAACUCUCCAUUCCAUCCUCCUUCCCCAAUCCCUCCUCCUUCCCCAAUCCAUCCUCCUUCCCCAAUCCACCUUCCUUCCCCCAUCCAGCCUCCUUCCCCCAUCCAGCCUCCUUCCCCACCCAGUGAAUGGGCAGCAGAAGCCCCUGGGGCUGUUGAGGGUGCUGCGCAUGUGGCUGAUGAGAAUGGUGCAGUUGGAGAUCCCACAAGCCUGCCUGGCAUCAUUACAAGGCUAAAGACUAAUUUGCAGGCCAUGCUGGCAGAUGUAGAGAGGAUUGAAACAUUUUUCCAAUUUGUUAAUUGUAAAAUUUGUAAAUAUUUGUUGUUGGUUAUAAAAAAAACACACACAAAAAUGAAAAAAAUAUGUACAAAAAUAAAAAAUUGAUUAUUACAGUUAA